AAAAAAAAAAAAAAAAAAAAGCUCUUUUCCUCCCCGGCUGUGUAAGGAUAGGCCGCCAUCAUGAACGACACAGUAACUAUCCGCACUAGAAAGUUCAUGACCAACCGACUGCUUCAGAGGAAACAAAUGGUCAUUGAUGCCCUUCACCCCGGGAAGGCAACAGUGCCUAAGACAGAAAUUCGGGAAAAACUAGCCAAAAUGUACAAGACCACACCGGAUGUCAUCUUUGUAUUUGGAUUCAGAACUCAUUUUGGUGGUGGCAAGACAACUGGCUUUGGCAUGAUUUAUGAUUCCCUGGAUUAUGCAAAGAAAAAUGAACCCAAACAUAGACUUGCAAGACAUGGCCUGUAUGAGAAGAAAAAGACCUCAAGAAAGCAACGAAAGGAACGCAAGAACAGAAUGAAGAAAGUCAGGGGGAAUGCAAAGGCCAAUGUUGGUGCUGGCAAAAAGUGAGCUGGAGAUUGGAUCACAGCCAAAGGAGUAAAGGUGCUGCAAUGAUGUUAUCUAUGGCCGUUGUGGAUUUUUCACGAGAAGCUUAAUAAACUAAAAACUUU